UACGUAGGGCGCAAGCGUUGUCCGGAAUUAUUGGGCGUAAAGAGCUCGUAGGCGGUUUGUCGCGUCUGCCGUGAAAACCCGAGGCUUAACCUCGUGGCUUGCGGUGGAUACGGGCAGACUAGAGGUAGGUAGGGGAGAAUGGAAUUCCCGGUGUAGCGGUGAAAUGCGCAGAUAUCGGGAGGAACACCGGUGGCGAAGGCGGUUCUCUGGGCCUUA
rnacentral:rRNA from 1 species